UCCGGGUUGGACCCGGCGGUCCCGCCAGACAUCGUAACUGGCAGCGAGGGUUGCGCUCGUUGCGGGACUUAACCCAACACCUCACGGCACGAGCUGACGACAGCCAUGCAGCAUCUGUGCGCGCUCCCUUGCGGGUCCUCCCCCUUUCGGGGUCGUACCACGUGCAUGUCAAGCCCAGGUAAGGUGGGGAUGACGUAAGAGAGUACGUCC
rnacentral:misc_RNA from 1 species